rnacentral:rRNA from 1 species
ACUCCUGCGGGAGGCAGCAGUGGGGAAUAUUGCACAAUGGGCGCAAGCCUGAUGCAGCCAUGCCGCGUGUAUGAAGAAGGCCUUCGGGUUGUAAAGUACUUUCAGCGGGGAGGAAGGCAAUACGGUUAAUAACCGUGUUGAUUGACGUUACCCGCAGAAGAAGCACCGGCUAACUCCGUGCCAGCAGCCGCGGUAAUACGGAGGGUGCAAGCGUUAAUCGGAAUUACUGGGCGUAAAGCGCACGCAGGCGGUCUGUCAAGUCGGAUGUGGAAUCCCCGGGCUCAACCUGGGAACUGCAUUCGAAACUGGCAGGCUUGAGUCGUGUAGAGGGGGGUAGAAUUCCAGGUGUAGCGGUGAAAUGCGUAGAGAUCUGGAGGAAUACCGGUGGCGAAGGCGGCCCCCUGGACAAAGACUGACGCUCAGGUGCGAAAGCGUGGGGAGCAAACAGGAUUAGAAACCCCAGUAGUCCCA